CUGUGUUUUUUUUGGGUUUGUUUGUUUGUUAGUUAGUUAGCCCUCUCCUCCUGAGCCCUAAAGUCCUUCCCUUCUUGGCGUGUGCGGUUGAGUUCAGUCAGGCUAUCAUCUAACACCUUUUUCAGAUCCAGGAGUACUACAAUCCUUUAUCAAAUAAUAACUGCAGCUUUUCUUAAGCUUGAGAGCCGAGAGAGAGAUCAGAGAGAUCAGCGGUGUGGUCAAAGUGGCCAGCGGUGACCUUUAACCCUGCUUCACUGCAGAGUAUGAAGUGGAUCAGCUACCUGAUGGAAGAGGCUCAUAAAAAGCCCAUCGGCGCGGCCAGACAGAGAUGUGAGGAGGCAAUCUGAGGAGAGGAUUGAGGACGGAGGACAGCAGUGACCGGCCAAGCAGACAGAUGAAGGACAGACACAGACCGAGGUUACACAGGUUUCUAUCAAAACUUCCUGCUCCACUGACCAGCCCAAUUAAUCCAGACAGACUGGAGAGAGAGAGAGAGAGAGAGAAAGAGAGAGAAAGAGAGAGAAAGAGAAAGAGCUGGUCUGAUUAAUGACUCUCCGCUGCUGUUUUAAUGCCACUGCAUCAUCUGCACCUCAGCGUUUGCUCUCUGACCUUUACAAUCUCUUCCCUGCUUGCCUCCAAAUCCCUGAUGGAUAUUUGAUCUGCUUAAUUAAAGACUCUGUGCUUGAGCUGGCAGCGUGAUUCCCAUCAUCCGCAGACGUCCGUGAGGGAUUUCUGAAUGAACGUGCAUCACUGGCAUCUGUGGCUCAUGAAGAACCUUUAACAUCCGUGGAAUCUUUCCACUGCUCUUUCUUUAUAGAAGAACAAUGUUUUUAGAUCAUAACAAUAUUAAAUUAAAAUGUUCUUUUAAGAACUGCUCACUUAAAUGGUUCACCUAUGGCAUCGCCACAAUAAAAGUUCUGGGAACUUUAUAUUUUAAGAGUGCAAAGAACAUUUGAAUAAUCUAAGAAUUGUUUUAUUUUAUUUUAUUUUGCACUGUAAAGAACCUUAAGUGCAAUGGAAACAUUUUAUGGAUGUUAGAGGUUCUUCAUGGAGCCAUCAAUGGCAAUUAAAAAAAUAAUAAUAUUUUUUUUGAUGGGAAAAAGAUUCAUCCAAUUAUUAUUCAAAAGUUCUUGAAAAUGGUUAUUAAAAGAACUGUUCCACCUUUGGCAAACCAAAGUUGUUUUUAAUGGCAUUGCUGCAAAAUAAAUAAAUAAAUAAAUA